CAUUCGUUACGCCGACAAGCUAAUAGCUCUUCUUUCUGCUUGUGUAGGCCCAUCCCCGUAUCGUGUGAGUAAGGUUCUAUGAAGUCUUUUCUUUUAGAGCCUCUCGCUUUGCCUCCCUUUGCCUCCUCAGCUGUGAAAUUCGAUCGAUUCAUCUUGACCGGAUCACAUAGCAUUAGUUGAGCGGUAAAAUAUGGUAAUAUUGAAUUUCUCUUUAGCUUCUAAUUACUUAUAUAUAUAAUGUAAUAUAAUUACUAAAAGCGAAUUAAAUCCAGGUGGACUACAGGAUGUGGGGUUUGGGACUUUUUCUAGAGAACCAGUCCCACGAGCUGAAGCCAAGCUGUACUUAG
rnacentral:lncRNA from 1 species